UCACCUGGCCUGGGAGUGUCUCUGGUGGGAUCAGCAGGCUCCAGGCUCGUGGCCCCGCCCUCAGGAGGCUCAGCUCCAGCACCAUGAAGGGCAUCCUGGUCCUCGGUCUCCUCGCAGCGCUCGCUGUGGCCCCCGGAGGGUCCCUGGACUGUCCGCAGUGCUCCUCAUUUGAUGCCCCCUGUGACUGCAACGAUGUCUCUCCAUGUCCUGGUGACACCUAUACCAGCUGCAUUGCUUCCUGUGCCGGCUGGCCUUCAG